rnacentral:rRNA from 1 species
UACCGCGGGUGCGUGCGAUAAUCGGAAUUACUGGGCGUAAAGGGUGCGUAGGUGGUAUGGUAAGUUAUCUGUGAAAUUCCUGGGCUUAACCUGGGACGGUCAGAUGAUACUGCUGUACUCGAGUAUGGGAGAGGGUAGUGGAAUUUCCGGUGUAGCGGUGAAAUGCGUAGAGAUCGGAAGGAACACCAGUGGCGAAGGCGGCUACCUGGCCCAAUACUGACACUGAGGCACGAAAGCGUGGGGAGCAAACAGG